rnacentral:rRNA from 1 species
UACGAAGGGGGCUAGCGUUGCUCGGAAUCACUGGGCGUAAAGCGCACGUAGGCGGACUCUUAAGUCGGGGGUGAAAUCCUGGAGCUCAACUCCAGAACUGCCCUCGAUACUGAGAGUCUCGAGUCCGGGAGAGGUGAGUGGAACUGCGAGUGUAGAGGUGAAAUUCGUAGAUAUUCGCAAGAACACCAGUGGCGAAGGCGGCUCACUGGCCCGGUACUGACGCUGAGGUGCGAAAGCGUGGGGAGCAAACAGG